rnacentral:rRNA from 1 species
GACGAACGCUGGCGGCGUGCUUAACACAUGCAAGUCGAGCGGUAAGGCCCUUCGGGGUACACGAGCGGCGAACGGGUGAGUAACACGUGGGUGACCUGCCUCUAGCUCUGGGAUAAGCCUGGGAAACGUGGGUCUAAUACCGGAUAUGACUCCACGGCGCAUGUUGUGGGGUGGAAAGCCUUGUGUGGCUAGAGAUGGGCCCGCGGCCUAUCAGCUUGUUGGUGGGGUGAUGGCCUACCAAGGCGACGAC